AGCCUGUGAUGAAUUGCUUUAAUUUCUGACACCUCAUUUGAAAGCUGCAUGUGCAGUCUGAUUAUUUUGCAAAUGUGAGGCUU
rnacentral:snoRNA from 1 species